rnacentral:rRNA from 1 species
GACAGAGGGUGCAAACGUUGUUCGGAAUUACUGGGCAUAAAGAGCACGUAGGUGGUCUGCUAAGUCACAUGUGAAAUACCCCAGCUCAACCGGGGAAUGGCUCCCGAUACUGGUUGGCUCGAGGACGGUAGGGGUGAGUGGAACUCCAGGUGGAGCGGUGAAAUGCGUAGAUAUUGGGAGGAACACCGGUGGCGAAGGCGGCAAACUGGAUAGGCACUGACACUCAACAACGAAAGCGUGGGGAGC